UACGUAGGGUGCGAGCGUUGUCCGGAAUUAUUGGGCGUAAAGAGCUUGUAGGCGGUCUGUCGCGUCUGCUGUGAAAAUCCGGGGCUCAACCCCGGACUUGCAGUGGGUACGGGCAGACUAGAGUGUGGUAGGGGAGACUGGAAUUCCUGGUGUAGCGGUGAAAUGCGUAGAUAUCGGGAGGAACACCAGUGGCGAAGGCGACUUUCUGGCCUGUUCUUGACGCUGAGGCGCGAAAGCUAGGGGAGCAAACGGG
rnacentral:rRNA from 1 species